GGAGUGGAAAUGAGUUCUCUUUUACUCAAGUUGGAGAUGAUUUCAAAUUGGGGCGUUGGAUGAGCUUAUAUUCUUUUCUUUCACAUGUUCCCGACACUCAUGGAAGAAGCAUGUGUUCAAGCUUAUAUGAGAGCCACAACCCUGUCAGCACACAUUUGCUUCGAUCUACAAUGAUUGCAGAGUCUGUUCUCUUUAGCAGUGAUAAAGACGCAAGUGAAGGCUCCACCUCAGCUGUAGAAAACAGUGAGUUAAAUAACUCAGUUUCAGUUGCUCUUUCUUGCAUUUUUGUCUAAUAUGUCAGAUGUUUCCUAUGAUUUGAUGUCUCGCAUCAACUAUUUACGAAUGCCGGGUGUUGUGUAGAGUGUCGACGGUAAGCCAGGGAUUUGUUUAGAACCUUAUUUACUUCAUGAGAAAAUCCUGUGGUGGCGAAUGUAAGUUUGGCAAUAGACUUACCUUUUUUACUUAUAUGUUUUGAGAAAUGCUGUUUCUAAUGAAAAGAGUCAACAUGUCUGCAUUUCUUUCACUAGUAAUCACUUUUUAAACUCCCAAGUAUAAUCUAGUCUUUCUACAUUGAAAGACAAACCAUAGUUUUUCUUCUAGAAUUGAGUUUCUUAAGAACUGCAAGUGAGUUACAAGUUUAUUGCUUCUGCAGGUGCUUGUACGUGACAUUUCAAAAGUCUCUAUUCCACAGAGGAGCUUGCUGGCGUCUCUGUGACAUUUCAAAAGUCUCUAUUCCACAGAGGAGCUUGCUGGCGUCUCUGUGACCGUAUUGAAUUUCCUUCAAAGGAUAAAAUCCAACAUGCCCUCUGAUUUUUUUUUUUGCUGAGUUAGUAUCUUUACACAAUUUACAGUCUUCCAGUCUCUGUUACAACUAAAGGAUGAAUGUUGUCUGAUUAGGUUCUAGAUAAUCUUAUAAACAAUUUAUAAAGACUUAUAAAACCAUUUGUAAAGUAUAUAAACAAUUUAUAAAUGCUUAUGAAAACGUUAAAGUUUAUACAAUUUAUAAGGUUUAUAUAGGUUUAUGAAUCAAUUAGAAAGUCCCUAAAUCAUUCAUAAGAAUCUAUAACCAUUUAGAAAGUCUUAUAAAACAAUUUAUAAGAGUUUGUAAAAAAAUUUAUAAUGGUUUACAAGAAUAUGUAAGUAAUCAAUAAGAAUUAAUAAGAGUUUAUAAAUAUUUUGUAAAGUUUAUAAAAAACAGUUUAUGAAGUUUGUAAAUCAUCUAUAAAGUUUGUAAAUCAUCUAUAAAGUUUGUAAAUCAUUUAUAAAUGUUUAUAAAUUAUUUGUAAGAGUAUAUCAACCAUUUAUAAAGGCUUAUAAAGAAGUUUAUAAAGUCAAUAAACCGUUUAUAAAUGUUUAUAAAAGAAAUCAGUUAGAAGAUUUUUAAAUCAUUUAUAAGAGUCUAUAACCAAGAAAGGCUUACAAGAAAAUUUAUAAGGUUUGUAAAAUAAUUUAUAAGAUUUAAUUAUAAAGGUAUGUAAAUAAUUUAUAAGGGUUUAUAAAACAUUUAUAAAAAUUCAUAAUCGGUAUAUAAAUUGGUUAAAAACAAAUAAUACUUUAUAGAAAUUAGCGCAAAUAGAUUUAAAAAUUGGUUUAUAAAUUUUGUUUAUAAAAGUUCAUAAUUGGUAUAACAAAUAUAUCAUUUAUAAGAGUUUAUAAGUAAUCAUUAUAAGAGAUAUAUGUACCGUUUAUAAGAGUAUAAAUUCAUUUAUAAAAUUAUAAACUAUUUAUAACGUUUAUUAAUCAUUUAUAAGGUUUUCUAAAAUUUUAUAAUUUAAUUACAAGAGUCCACAAAUCCUUUUAUAAAGUUUUAUAAUGCUUCAUAUAUAAAUCAGUUACGAGAUUCAUAAAUCAUCAUUUUAUAAGAGCUUGUAAUGUAAGAGUUUAUAAAAUGUAUAAGUGCUUAUAAAUAAUUUUGUAAGUGCUAAUAAAUACUUUUGUAAAGGUUGUUAAAUAAUUUAUUAUCAGUUACAAAAGUGUAUAGAUCUUUUUAAAUAACACCAACAUUCACUACUCCAAACUUUCAUAUAAGGGUAUAAAAUUUAAUAUAUUUUAUAAGGCCUUGUAAAUUUUAAUGUAUAAAGCUUAAAAUUAUAGUUUUAAAUAAUUUGUUAACAUAUUACAUCGCCUAUAAAUAAUUAUUCGCAAGAGAUGAUUAAAACAUUUAUAAGCAUUAUCUAUGGAUUCAUAAACAAUAAUGUAUUAAAAUUUAUUAAAAAUCACUUACAAACCUUCGUAAAACUCAGAUAUACUUGUUUAUAAAGUAUUAUAUAAACUCAGAUAUGAAAUUUAAACACAAAAAAAAAUAUGUAAAGGCUGAUAAAUAACUUUUAACCCCUUAUAUAUCUUAUAAUAAGAUUUUAGAAAGCAUUAUGAAAAUUAAUGAUAAAAAGUUUAAAAAGUAAAAUCGGUGAUAUAAAUACAUGAAGAUGCUCGUUGCAAAUUUUCUUUAAAAAGAAACUAGAGUAAAUGUAAAGUACAAAUGAUUUACAGCUUACAAUCACUUAUAAGAACACGUGUAACACAUAUAUAUUACAGAAAGACAUGUGUCUUGUUUCUCUUAUAUGUGUCAAGAACAUAUAUAUUACAUAUAAAAACACAUGUCUUCUCUCUCUUUCUGCAACUCCAAUCUUCUUGAACAUUGUGUUUCCCUCUGAAAACAUAAAAACAUAAGGCUAAAUAUAUAUAUUAUUUUACGAUUUCUUUUAUAAGGCUUUAUAAAUAUAAAAAUUGUAAUAAAUACCUCAAGGGGGUUACUAUUUCUAGCAAUAUGCAAAUCAUGAGUAAUUAAAACUUCAUCCAGUGUCUGAAUCGUAUUUGACACAAUCCUUGAUGAUAAAUGAGUUCCUCCUGAAACAUUAACAAAAAACAUAAAGCUAAUAGUGAAUCUCCAAAUGACAUGAUUAUAUUUAUAAGGUCUUAUAAACGUAAAAGUUGUAAUAAGUAUUGUUAUGGCAUACUUCCAGCAAUAAGCAGAUCUUGAGUACUACAUACUAUCUUGUAAAAUAACUAACUGAUAACUAUCAUAAACGAAAACCUUAACAAGAAGUUUCAUGUUGUUACCUUAAUGGUUACACAUAGAUGAAAGCCUCCAUUCUCUUGAAGUUUGUUCAGAUAUGAUGCUACUUGACGAGCAUUCCUAAUAAAUACCGUUGGAAGCUCUUUUAAACUAAAACUUAACUUUGAAGGUGAGACAUAGCAAAUAUUUAUACUGUUUAACUUGGAAGGUGAGACAUCGAUUCCAAAAUCUUCUAAAACAACCCCAAUCAAAUCAUUGUAGUUGAUAUCUUCAAGAAUCAUACUAAGAGAAGAUCCCCUUUCAUCAUCGACUAUGAAAGCCCAAUGAAUUCCAUUUAUUAGUUUCCAGUCUCCACGUAUAGAACAUAAUUCGAUCGUCAUAAUUCUGAUUAUAAGAAUAUGGGGAUUAAAAAAGGAAUGAUCAACAAGAUAUAUCAAAAAAAAAACAUAACACUAUGUUCCUCAUUGAUAAAAAUUUAUAAGGUUUUAUAAAUCUGAGAUUUGAAAAUUUCAUGAGAAAAACUUCGUCUCCUUCCCAGAAACCGAUCGAU